rnacentral:miRNA from 1 species
UUUUGCGUUUCAACUCGGUCC